AACGAACGCUGGCGGCAUGCCUAACACAUGCAAGUCGAACGAGACCUUCGGGUCUAGUGGCGCACGGGUGCGUAACGCGUGGGAACCUGCCCUUAGGUUCGGAAUAACUCCCCGAAAGGGGUGCUAAUACCGGAUAAUGUCUUCGGACCAAAGAUUUAUCGCCUUUGGAUGGGCCCGCGUUGGAUUAGCUAGUUGGUAGUGUAAAAGCCUACCAAGGCGACGAUCCAUAGCUGGUCUGAGAGGAUGAUCAGCCACACUGGGACUGAGACACGGCCCAGACUCCUACGGGAGGCAGCAGUGGGGAAUAUUGGACAAGGGGCGAAAGCCUGAUCCAGCAAUGCCGCGUGAGUGAGGAAGGCCUUAGGGUUGUAAAGCUCUUUUACCCGGGAUGAUAAUGACAGUACCGGGAGAAUAAGCUCCGGCUAACUCCGUG
rnacentral:rRNA from 1 species